rnacentral:rRNA from 1 species
GAUGAACGCUGGCGGCGUGCCUAAUACAUGCAAGUCGAGCGAACAGACGAGGAGCUUGCUCCUCUGACGUUAGCGGCGGACGGGUGAGUAACACGUGGAUAACCUACCUAUAAGACUGGGAUAACUUCGGGAAACCGGAGCUAAUACCGGAUAAUAUAUUGAACCGCAUGGUUCAAUAGUGAAAGACGGUUUUGCUGUCACUUAUAGAUGGAUCCGCGCCGCAUUAGCUAGUUGGUAAGGUAACGGCUUACCAAGGCAACGAUGCGUAGCCGACCUGAGAGGGAGAUCGGCCACAGUGAAACAGAGACGCGGUACAGACUCCUACGGGAGGCAGCAGGAGAGAAUCGGCCGAAAGGGGAGAAAGCGUGACGGAGAAGCGGCGCGUGAGAGAAGAAGGUCUUCGGAGCGUAAAACUCUGUUAUGAGGGAAGAAAAAAUGUAAGUAACUAUGCACGUCUUGACGGUACCUAAUCAGAAAGCCACGGCUAACUACGUG